AGACUCAGGAGGCGUCUCUCCGAGGGUGUGGGCUGUGAUGGGGCCCUGUGCACCCAUCCAGGCUGCCCAGACCAGGAGAGCACAGGUCAGCCGGACACAUGAUGGAAGCCUCCCCAGCCUCUGGCCUCCAGUCCCAACAAGCCAUGCUCCUUCCAGAGGGAACCUCUGCCAGGGGAGCCUCCACUUUCUUGCUCCUGCCUCCCUACCUGGCACCCAGGCCGGCCCUGGUACCCUGGUACUGAAUAAAGGCACACGUCUAAAUGAUGUCGGGGGGAAUCUGCCCAGUGUUGGCACUGGAGCGAACACGACCCACUGCCAGCAUGGCCCACGAGCCACACCCCCCCAAGCCAGCACCUCCUCCCCAGAGGAAGCACGGGGCUCGACGGGGCACGCCCCUGAAUGGGAGGUCACACAUGGUGCAUACAAUGGAAUAGGAUUAAUCCGUGAAAAGGAAGAAAUUCUGACACAUGCUCCGGCGUGGAGGAACCUUGAGGACGACGCUGAGUGAAAGAAGCCAGACACGAAAGGACAGAUACGGCAAGACUCGACUUAUGUGAGGUCCCUAGAGGAGUCGGAUUCAUAGAGACUGAAAGGAUGGCGGGCACCAGGGGCGGUGGAGAGGGGAAAUGGGGAGUUACUGUUUAAUGGGGACAGAGUUUCAGUUUUACAAGAUGAAAAGGGUCCUGGAGCUGGAUGGGGGUGACGGCCGCACAACAGCAUGAAUGGACUGAACGCCACUGAAAACUGAACUCUUGAAAAUGGUUAAACUGGCAAAUUUUGUUAUGCAUAUUUUGCCACAAAAAGCAAACAACUCUUCUCCCCAAAAAUAUCUGGGGUGUACUUACACUAAAUAUGUAGGGCAUAUUUACUCUCAACAUUUAUUUCCUUAUUUGAAAUGAAAGUAUUUGGGACACACUGCACUACAAAAUGAUUCAGGGUCUACCUGAAAUUCCCAUGUA
rnacentral:lncRNA from 1 species